GACGUAGGGCGCAAGCGUUGUCCGGAUUUAUUGGGCGUAAAGAGCUCGUAGGCGGCUUGUCGCGUCGACUGUGAAAACCCGCGGCUUAACUGUGGGACUGCAGUCGAUACGGGCUAGCUAGAGUUCGGUAGGGGAGACUGGAAUUCCGUGGUGGUAGCGGUGAAAUGCGCAGAUAUCAGGAGGAACACCGGUGGCGAAGGCGGGUCUCGUGGGCCGAGUGACUGAC
rnacentral:rRNA from 1 species